GAUGAACGCUGGCGGCGUGCCUAAUACAUGCAAGUCGAGCGAAUGGAUUAAGAGCUUGCCCUUAUGAAGUUAGCGGCGGACGGGUGAGUAACACGUGGGUAACCUGCCCAUAAGACUGGGAUAACUCCGGGAAACCGGGGCUAAUACCGGAUAACAUUUUGAACCGCAUGGUUCGAAAUUGAAAGGCGGCUUCGGCUGUCACUUAUGGAUGGACCCGCGUCGCAUUAGCUAGUUGGUGAGGUAACGGCUCACCAAGGCAACGAUGCGUAGCCGACCUGAGAGGGUGAUCGGCCACACUGGGACUGAGGCACGGCCCAGACUCCUACGGGAGGCAGCAGUAGGGAAUCUUCCGCAAUGGACGAAAGUCUGACGGAGCAACGCCGCGUGAGUGAUGAAGGCUUUCGGGUCGUAAAACUCUGUUGUUAGGGAAGAACAAGUGCUAGUUGAAUAAGCUGACACCUUGACGGUACCUAACCAGGAAGCCACGGCUAACUACGUGCCAGCCGCCGCCGUAA
rnacentral:rRNA from 1 species